UGGUGGAGUGAUUUGUCUGGUUAAUUCCGUUAACGAACGAGACCUCCGCCUGUUAAAUAAUAUGAUUUAUCUUUUAUGAUAGAUUGAUAUUACUUAGAGGGACUUUUGCGAUUAGCGAAAGGAAGUUGGAGGCAAUAACA
rnacentral:rRNA from 1 species